AUCCUUCAGUUCAUGAGUGUGAUGAUUGGGUGUUCAAGCUGUAUGCAUGAGAUGUACCUCCCACAAACCUUGUUACAACAUCAGCACAUUACCCAUCUGACA
ensembl:snoRNA